AAUAAAACCAAAUCUCUCGCUCGCUCACAUAAUUCCGACUCUCACAAAACCCCCAAAAUCCGAAAACGAUAGAAAACUCAACCCCUAACCCUAGAUUUCCCGAUGACCAGCGACGCCCAGGACUCGCAUCGCAAGCACCGCGGUGCCUCUUCCGAUGACGAAGAGGCCGUCGAGAAGUCGUCCAAGCGCCACAAGCACCGCCACCACCGCCGCCACCAUCGUCACCGUCACGGCAGCAAAAAGCGCGAAGAGGAGACCAAGGCCGUCGUCGACGAUGUCGAAGCUCCUCCACCGCCGCCUGUUGAGUUAUAUGAUUCCGGUGUCAAUGGUUCUAUGCCGGUUGAAGACGUGGAGGAAGGCGAAAUUCUCGACGAGGAGGGUGUCGGUGGUCGCGAUGAUGGGGUUUCCAAUGCGGAGUCUGGUGAAAUUGAGACUCCUGGAGUUGGCGAUCAUUCUAAUAAGCGGAAUCUGAGAGACAAUAACAUCAAUAAAAAUACAAAGACUGUGGGACACCUGCAUGAUGAUGAUGAUGAUGAUGAUGAUGCCCGCGGUCGUGUUGGUGGCAAGUCUCGGAAUGAGGCUGGUUUGCCUAGAGAUUCUAGGCGACACAGGGAGUCUGGGUCUCCUUCUAGAGGAAGUGAUAAGAGAAAGAAUUACUUUGAUGAUGAAAAAGUGUAUGAAGAUGGAAGUAAAUCAGCUAAUGGGAAAAAGUUAUCCUCUGGAAGUAGUGGGGACAAGUACAAUACCUUGGUGCGUUCACCAUCUUGUGAUAGGCGCGGUGACGAGCUACAUGGUAGGGGCAGAUCAAGGUCGUAUGACCGUUUGAGGGAGAGAUCUCGUUCCCGCAGUAUAAUAGAAGAAGAGUCUCUUUCGAAGAGGAGACAUUAUCAUGAACGGGACACCUCUGUGUAUGUUGAGAAAAGCAAGGCUGUGCACGGCUCUGAUGAUGAAGGAUUGACUCCUGGUAUUGACAGUGUUGAUCUGAGGAGGGAUGAUGAAAGGGAACACAAUAUUAGUUAUAGCAGAUACUCUGGAUUAGGCCAUAGUCGAGAAAGAGAGAGAAGUAGGGAGAGGGAGGUGGGUCAGGAGCAGAGAAGGGAGAAAGAUCAAGAAAGAAUCAGGGACAAUGAACGGAGAAGGGAGAAAGAAAGAGAAAGGAGUAGUGACAGGGAUUUGGUUAGGGAUAGGAAAAGGGGAAUAGGACGAGAGCAUAGCAGGGAAAGAGUGAUUUAUAUGGAAAGGAGAAGGGAAGAGCGACAUAGGAGCAGGGACAUUGAGAAUAGGGACAGGAAUAGGGAUGAUAGUAAUAGGAGCAGGGACAGGGUCAAGGAUGAUAGGGACAGAAACAUGGAGAGGGGCCGAGAUAGGGCCAAAGAUACAGACCGAAAAUGGGAGAGGCGAGAUGAUAGAGACAGGGAUAGGGGUCGAGAUAUGGAGAGGGAGAAAUAUGAGCAUCAUGAGGAUAUCUAUGGAAACCGAGAUAGGCAUAAAUCUGCUCGAUCAAGGCACAAUGGAAAAGGAUACGACCAGGACCGAAGAAGUAAAACUGAUCCAGCAAAGGUACAGAGUCCAAAGAAUUAUUCUGUCGAAGGGGAUGAAGACAUGUUAGAAAGAGAUGAAGAUGAAGAAGAAAGCAUUCAAGUUGCUGGCCAGGAAGAGGAUGAUGUGGAUAGAAUCAAGGAAGAGUCUCGAAGAAUAAAACAAGCCAUCUUAGAAAAAUAUAAAAGUCAGCAGUCACAGCAAACAAAAGAGUUGCGUCUACAAGAACAAACUGAGUCACAGUUGCAAAAGCAAUUUGAGCCUCAGCCUCUGGAGCAAUCAGUGGAUAAAGGUUCUGCAGAUCAUCUGGAGCAAUCAGCAGCUUCUGUCAAACCUGGUCUAGAAACUGAUGAUGGAAGGAGUGAUGGGGAUGUGUCUGUUGCUGCAUUUUCUGUUUCACCUCAGCAGAAUGGUGCUGAUACUUCUAGAAUGCCUUCUGGUGCCACGGGGCUUGGAGAGGGUACUCCAGAGAGUGAAGGAGCUGUUGCCGUUGAUGAUAUCUUUGGUGAGACCCCAGUUGGAGUUCAAAAAUUGGGAAAAGGAGAUCGUGUACAAAUUGAAAGGAGUGGUAUUCAUGAUAACUGGGAUGAUGCAGAAGGGUACUACAGUUACCGGUUUGGAGAAUUACUUGAUGCUCGAUAUGAAAUCACUGCUGCUCAUGGGAAGGGUGUCUUUUCGACAGUCGUCCGUGCAAAGAACCUUACAGUUGGUAAUGGUGAACCUGAAGAAGUGGCAAUUAAGAUGAUACGGAGCAAUGACACUAUGUUAAAGGCCGGUAUGACUGAGUUGACCAUAUUGAAGAAAUUAGCAGGUCACGAUCCAGAUAAUAAGCGCCACUGUGUUCGUUUUCUGUCGAAUUUCAAGUAUCGAAAUCAUCUUUGUUUAGUGUUUGAAUCCCUUCAUAUGAAUCUUCGUGAGGUCUUAAAGAAGUUUGGGCGCAAUAUUGGUCUUAAGCUAACUGGCGUCAGAGAAUAUGCUAAGCAACUUUUUAUUGCACUGAAGCAUUUAAAGAACUGCGGUGUCCUUCAUUGUGAUAUAAAGCCAGAUAACAUGCUGGUAAAUGAGUCAAAAAAUGUAUUGAAGCUGUGUGAUUUUGGUAAUGCCAUGUUCGCUGGAAAGAAUGAAGUUACACCAUACCUCGUCAGCCGCUUUUAUCGUGCUCCUGAAAUAAUUCUUGGCUUGCCUUAUGAUCAUCCACUGGAUAUCUGGUCAGUUGGUUGCUGUUUGUACGAACUUUAUACAGGAAAAGUUCUUUUUCCCGGUGCUACAAACAAUGAUAUGCUACGUCUACACAUGGAACUGAAAGGCCCUUUCCCAAAGAAGAUGCUUCGUAAGGGAGCUUUUACACAUCAACAUUUUGAUCAGGAUCUGAACUUCCAUGCUACAGAAGAUGAUCCUGUUACAAAGAAGGCAAUCAAUCGGGUGAUUUUUAAUAUAAAGCUAAAAGAUAUUGGAUCACUUAUUACGGGUUCUGGUGAGAAUGCAAAGAUGCUAGCUGACUUUAAAGAUCUUUUAGAUAAAAUGUUUGUAUUGGAUCCAGAUAAGAGGUUGACAGUAUCACAAGCUUUGAACCAUCCAUUCAUCACUGGCAAGUGAACCCUGUUGCUGAUUUUCUGACUACAGAAUUCGCGCUAGAUAUUUGUACAUUUUGAUCUAAUUCAUACAGUUUCUAAUAAUUGGGCAUUAUCUCUCUUCUCUGUGAUGGCCUGAGAGCUUUUGGCACAGUUUUGGCAUGGUUGAAGUCAGAGGGGGUGAUGUUUUGGUCAGGAGUACUCAUCACUGGCGGGGGUUCUUUCACUUGUACUGUUUCUAUCGUAAGACAACUAGCCAAAGGCGUCUUUUCCCCCUGAUAUGUGAUACUGCUAUGAGGCAACCCUCCAGUGCUUAGAUGAUUAAAAGGAACCCAGGAGAAGGUACCUUGGUUUUGCUUAUUUGGAGAAUAUUGUGAGGGACUUGGAAAUAGAUGACUUUAUGUUUCAUGCUUUGUUUUUCUGUUCCUAGAUGAAGCUACUGGGUUGACUUGGAAAUCUAUUUAAUUUGAGUCUUAGUGUCGCUGCUCUAGAUUAAUUUGACGACUUCUUGUAGCUUCUUUCUCUUCUUUUCUUUCUGGUGUCUGCUAUUUGGUCUGCGUUUGAAAUUGUGAGGAGGGUUACUUUAUUACUACUGUAUUUGUUAUCUGAAUGUAUUAAUGCAUGUACAUGCACUCUGAAAUGUGCAUUGGUUCUUCUAAAACAGGGUUCAGUUGACGCGUUGUACCAUGUCAUGUUUGUUUUAUUUGACGUCAUACUAAAUGCAUGAAAUUGUAUUCAGACAUCUGUUUUCCUUUCAGUCUUUGUAUGUGCUUGAGAGCAUUAUAUUUAUUACUUAUUUUUGUUUGUUCUACCUUUUAAAUAUCUGCAUAUCCUAAUGAGAUUGCAUUGCAUCUGAUUCAUGGUCAUUCUGGAGGCACUUGCACAGGAGGCAUGAGGCUGCUGUUUGAUCUAGAACAAAUUCAGAGGUAUGCCCCCCAUGCUUCUGCUCCUGCGCCAUCUGUACGUAUAUUCAAAUCAUAGUUUUUAUUUAUUUUGGUGUGCAGUUUUUGUGAAGCAAAAUUUUACUUGUAUUCCUAUGGAAAAUACUUUAGAAAUAUGGCUAUAACGUGGAUACUGGCUAACAGUUUUGUUAAGACUUUAGGAACCUAAAGAAAACACAAUUUAAUUCCUAUUGAAAAAUUAAAACAUUAACUAGCAUAAUUGGUCUCCCUUGAAACUGAUGUACUUAUGGAUGUUGCUUAACCUUAUUUGAUUUCACGACAUUGAACUGCACUUUCGAACACCUGGAAGGAAUACAAUGCCAUGAAAUCAAAUAAGGUUAAGCCACAUUGUUGGCCUGCACCUUCAGAGGUUGAUUCUUGUUAUUUGUCGGCUACUAAAAAAUUAUUACUUGUACCCUUGUGCGCCCGACUUCAGUUUCUCUUUACCAUUUUCUUAUGACUUGACAAUUCUUUCGUUGUUCUUCAUUAUCGAUGUUCUGGAAAGGAGUUGAUAAUGUCAAAUAAGCUGUUUUGUUUAUAAUCAGUUUCAAUAGAAUAUAGUGAUAGAAGGCCUUGAAAGAAAGGAAUGUAUUGCCUUGGGAUUGCUUCUAUUAUUGUUUGUAGCUGUUUUCAUGUAAUUAGUUCGGGUUUUGCUCUUGUUUUUCCGUUUGAUGUUCACCGCCGGCAAGUUAUUGUUAUACAAGUUAUGCUGAUCUAAUGACAGAUAUACUCGUAUUUAACUCGAGAUGUUAUGCUAGCUACCCAUUCAGCCGGGUUGAUUUGUAAUUUGAGAUGAAAGUGUUAAUAGUCGUAUGUAUUCUGCAUAUUUUCCCUCUAGUUUUAUUGUUUAUUUUCAUCGUACUGAACUGUAACCGGGAUCAACUUUCUUUGGUGUGCUACAUAAUUUACAUUGACGAUGCAAGGGUUGUAAUCUUUCGGUUCCAGACAUUUUGUAAUACUUAUGUUAACGCGUGUGGUAUGGCAAUCGGUGUUGAUGUUAUAUAUCCAA